rnacentral:rRNA from 1 species
GUGGGGAAUUUUGGACAAUGGGCGCAAGCCUGAUCCAGCCAUGCCGCGUGCAGGAUGAAGGCCUUCGGGUUGUAAACUGCUUUUGUACGGAACGAAACGGUCCUGGCUAAUAUCCGGGGCUAAUGACGGUACCGUAAGAAUAAGCACCGGCUAACUACGUGCCAGCAGCCGCGGUAAUACGUAGGGUGCGAGCGUUAAUCGGAAUUACUGGGCGUAAAGCGUGCGCAGGCGGUGCUGUAAGACAGGCGUGAAAUCCCCGGGCUCAACCUGGGAAUUGCGCUUGUGACUGCAGUGCUGGAGUGCGGCAGAGGGGGAUGGAAUUCCGCGUGUAGCAGUGAAAUGCGUAGAUAUGCGGAGGAACACCGAUGGCGAAGGCAAUCCCCUGGGCCUGCACUGACGCUCAUGCACGAAAGCGUGGGGAGCAAACAGGAUUAGAAACCCCUGUAGUCC